rnacentral:rRNA from 1 species
UACAGAGACUGCAAGCGUUAUUCGGAUUCACUGGGCGUAAAGGGCGCGUAGGCGGCCUGCUAAGUCGAACGUGAAAUCCCCGGGCUCAACCCGGGAACUGCGUCCGAUACUGGUGGGCUUGAAUCCGGGAGAGGGAUGUGGAAUUCCAGGUGUAGCGGUGAAAUGCGUAGAUAUCUGGAGGAACACCGGUGGCGAAGGCGGCAUCCUGGACCGGUAUCGACGCUGAGGCGCGAAAGCUAGGGGAGCAAACGGG